GUUUUAUGAUGAUAUCCCAUGCGUGUCAUCUGAAGCCCAGGACACUCUGCAUUGUUCCUGCGCAGACUGCGUCUUGCGGUCUGCGUCAGUGUGGUGCAGAGGAUCCUGGGAAAUGAUCUUCCCAACCUAUCUGAAAAC